UACGGGAGGCAGCAGUGGGGAAUAUUGCACAAUGGGCGCAAGCCUGAUGCAGCCAUGCCGCGUGUAUGAAGAAGGCCUUCGGGUUGUAAAGUACUUUCAGUCGUGAGGAAGGUGUUAAGGUUAAUAACCUUAGCAAUUGACGUUAGCGACAGAAGAAGCACCGGCUAACUCCGUGCCAGCAGCCGCGGUAAUACGGAGGGUGCGAGCGUUAAUCGGAAUUACUGGGCGUAAAGGGCACGCAGGCGGUUAAUUAAGUUGGAUGUGAAAUCCCCGGGCUUAACCUGGGAAUGGCAUUCAAGACUGGUUAGCUAGAGUCUUGUAGAGGGGGUAGAAUUCCAUGUGUAGCGGUGAAAUGCGUAGAGAUGUGGAGGAAUACCGGUGGCGAAGGCGGCCCCUGGGACAAAGACUGACGCUCAUGUGCGAAAGCGUGGGGAGCGAAAC
rnacentral:rRNA from 1 species